UCUUUAAUCAGGCUCUAUAGGCUGUAAACUGGGAGAAUCUAAACGUGACGUCAAUGCCUAGUAACUGACGCAGCCCCUCAACAAAAAUUGGGAUUAAAACAUUUUUUUCCGUCAGAAUGCGACUUUAAUUAUUAGUUUUUGCACUGCUCUGUCGACUAUAAGCAACCCCACAAGGAACAUGUAUCCUUUUUAUCAGAAUGGACUUACAUGCUGUUUCGUGGUUAUUUCACCAACUACCAGCCAACCAUUGCAUUGUGAGUUCCUCAGCGAAAGUUGCAUGGAGACAAGAUAGCUGAGACGCCAAGAGAAGAUGAAGAAAGAGAUAUGUGAAAUAAAGCAUCAACACCGAUAAGGCUACAGGUCUACGAGCACCGAGAAAAAUAAUUGAGUGGGAGGAAAAGUAGCCUGUGUUUUGAAAUGGGCACUCAGUAAACCCAAAACACUGCAAUGAUGCAACGACGGGGAAUCGGGGCUCUUGUGCAGAGUUGGAGAGGCAAAAUGAAUGUACAUUACAUGCACUUCACGUAACGUUCCUGAGCGAUGCCUUUCAAGGGUUGCCUGCUAUGCUAAAGUCAUCGACGUAGUCUGUACCCCGGG